rnacentral:misc_RNA from 1 species
GAAAUGCGAUAAGUAAUGUGAAUUGCAGAAUUCAGUGAAUCAUCGAAUCUUUGAACGCACAUUGCGCCCCGUGGUAUUCCGCGGGGCAUGCCUGUUCGAGCGUCAUUUCAACCCAUCACGCCCCGGCGUGGACUUGGGGCCUGCGUCUUCGCAGCCCUUAAACUCAGUGGCGGUGCUAUUGAGCUCUGAGCGUAGUAAAUCUUCUCGCUAUAGGGUCUCGGUAGUUGCUUGCCAACAACCCCCAAUUUUUUUAUCAGGUUGACCUCGGAUCAGGUAGGGAUACCCGCUGAACUUAA